rnacentral:piRNA from 1 species
UAGAAGCCUCCAGCCACGAUAGGAACUG